rnacentral:siRNA from 1 species
UCACAAGUAGAUUUCACAUA